AACGUUAGAGUGGCGCGAAAUAGACGUAUACGGCGAGUGAUCAACAAACGCCGCAAAUAAGUAUUUUAGAACGACUGGUGUGUUGUUACUUGUUGGCUACGGUAAAAACGUAGUUGUCUAAAGCGUAGCAAAAGUGGAUUUUAACCACUGAGAAACGAAAGUCGACUGUUAGUAGGCCUAGGACGAGUCAAGUGGCAAGGAUAUUUUUUGGAAGUCCCAUCGUUAGUCAGUGUGGAUGUAGUUGCCACAUUAUGUAAUUCCAUAAUUUCGAUAGCCAUAGAAGAGAUACAUUUUAAUCUAAGUUAUGCCAUAUUCUCGUCUGUUCUCUGAGCAUAUUGACCCAGAACAAGAGAAACAUCAUUUGCAGAUCCAGCAAAAUAGAUGUUGUUCUCGUACUCAUUAUGAAGUUCUUGGAAUAAAUAAGAGUGCUACAUCAAAGGAAAUCAGACAGUCCUUCAUUAAACUUUCAAAGAAGUUACACCCAGAUAUCAACAAGGACCCUAAAACUCAUGAGAGAUUUAUCAAAAUAAAUGAAGCGUACUCUACUCUAAUAAAGCCAUCCAACCGAAAGGAUUAUGACCAGACUCUUGCGUACCGAGUGAAGGCUAAGCAGUAUGAGGCGUCAACAGUAUAUGGACCACACACCUCUGGCUCUUCAAGCCGUCCAGGAUUUCAACAUGAAGCUGGAGCUGAUGAAGGCCAGUUCUACUAUGAUGAAACAUUGUGGCACUGGAGAGACCAAGCAGAAGACAAAAAUUAUGAACAGCAAGCUGAGCAACGUGGUUACUAUGGCUUCAAGGGCAUAAACAGGAUUGCCAAUCACAGGAUUGUUCUCGGAUGUUUGGGACUAAUUAUUUUUGGUGGAAUGAUGCACUACUUCACAUUUUACCAAAGUAGAAGUCGACAAGUAGAAAAAAUGAAUGAAAGAGACCAGAAGCUUGCAGCCUACCAUACUUCGGCCAGGAAAGAUGCUAAGCGUUUUGGCAAUGAGUAUCAGUUGGAACGCUUGAAGGCAAUUGCAGCAGCGAAUAAAUACACAACACAAAAUGACACAGAUUGACACAGUCGUCCGUAUUGACUGGUAACUUCUUUAUAGUGUGCAUCUGGUGUGGCUGUAGGCCCAUACAUAGAUCACCAUUCUCUUCCAACACCCUAUGUUCCUAGACGAGAUCUUUUGAGACUUAAAUAAUAAAAGAAUGACUCUCACCACCCACCAUCACCACAGAAAAGAAAAACAGAAAGACACACCCACUAAUCUGGUUGUCUGGCUAGCUUGCUGUGUGUGUGAUGUCUUCAACUAAAUUGUAUGUGCUUACCUCAAACCUAUAACAAGGACAGUGUGUUCCACCAGAGAAUCAUUGUAUUAUAUAAGGGAUAUCUGAUGCAUUAACUGGUUACAUUUUUAAUCUUCGGUUCAGUGUUGGAAGAAGAAUUGUGUAAUUUAAUGUAACAGUUGACUUUCUGCAAGACAGUUCCUGGCAGCUGGUCAUUUCGGUAUUGGGAUCAUGUUGGUGAACAUGAGUGUUUAAUAAGCUGGACUUAACCUUUAAUAUGCCAACCAUUUGUUAAAGGAAUUCAACCCAAUGAAAGCGAAUGUAAGAGACAUGACACUAUAGUUUUAAGUGUUACUUGACAAUGUAUGAACAAAUUGUACAACUUUAUGUAGAUAAAUAUUUAAAGUGUGCAAUUUGGAUAUUAUUGUAGGAAGUGUUGAGGUAGAAAUUACAUGAUUAUAAUUUUGUGGAGUUUGUUGUUUAAUUUGCUCAUAGACUUAAAAAUAUCAAUGAUUUACUGAAAUAAAUAUGUACAGACAUUAAUGUAGUCAAUGUUUUUUUUUUAAUCAUUGUCAACUAAAACCUUUUCAAACAAAGUGUGUAGGUAUGUGUAUGAUGUGCAUUAUGGCUUGUAAUGUAGUUUUUACUAAUUUUAAUAAAUACUUAACAAUAACAUGUAGGUCAUCCUGUAACUUACACAGUGAAACCCCUCCAAACUGGACACCCAUGAGACCAAGUAAAUGUCCAGUUUUAAGGGGUAUCCAGUUUAGAGAGAUUCUAUCCCCUACUGAUAUUUUAAAAGGGACUGGAAAAUGUCCAGUAUUGUGGGAAUAUCAGUUUACGGAGGUCUGGUUUAGAGAGAUUUUGCUGUAUAUUCUACUUGUAUGCUUAUCAGACAUGUACACAUAUCCGUACAUGUUUGAUGAUACCUAAACUCAUUUUAAAACACAAAUACUCACUUUUAAAGAGUAAUUUUACAUGGAAUUUUGUAUAUACAUUGUCAAAAUAUACCGAUUCUGUAAAUGGAUUGUGCUGGUGAGUUGCUAGUACUAGCAGCAAAUCUGCAAACAUAUGUUAUUGAAGAAUUUUUUAAUAUUAUUUUUAUUAUAUAUAUAAUAAUAUGAAACAAUAUUUGAAUGCUCAAAGAUUGAGAUUUUGUGAUAUGAAAAUGUCAUAUUUUCGAUUAUAAGGAAUCCACAGUAACAACUCGGUUAACCAAUUAAAAAAUUUGAAUCUCAUUUGGAAAAAUGUUGUCAUGAGUGUAAAAUAAAGUCUGUUGACAGAA